UGGCCUGGGCGCCCCUCUGCCCGGCUGCGGGAGCCGCCCCGGGAAUCGAGUCCGGACGCGAGCGGCCCGACAGUUUCGAGUGCCUUCCUUCCAGUCACGCAGCCCUUCCCGCCCCCGAGCCCCAGUAAUUUUCCCUUUUCCUCCUCCGGCCGGUCAGAGCGGCUGCCGGCGCGUCCUCCCGCGAAGGCCGGCGCGGAGAGCCCCCUGCCGGCCAUGCUGCUCCCGGGCCGCGUCCCAGCCCCGGUGGCGCUCUCCUGCGGCCGGACUCAGCCUCCCCAUGUGGAACCUGGAGCCAGCCUGGCGUUUCCUUCGGGCUUUGGUGGCCAACCGAUGAGAUGAUAAACGUACAGCGCCGAGCGGGAUCUGACAAACCCUUUGGCUCUCGGAGCCUGGAGGAGCCGGUGCCCUGGGGGGAUGAAAGGCCAGGGAUGUAAUGGGUUUACCCCAGCGCUGAUCCCAGAGAAGCCUGCAGAAGAUUAAGAUUUGCUCCCGGAGGCUGAAAUCUCUCUGCUACCCCCUGACCACAUCAAAGCACGUGGCCGUGGGGGGCACCUAAUCCCAUCAAUGGAAUCAAAGCUGGACUAGAAAGGAAAUUCUGCCAAGUUGGUGCAGGGGACAAAGCUCACAAGACAAAGUUAGAUACUGGGCCCUGGCCUCCUCCCCUGGGGGUUACAUCCCCCCAAAAUCCUGAGCCAGUCCACAAGCAGACAGGGGCUGUCCUUUGCUUCUUGAGGAGGGCCACUGUGGGAAGGUCAACACCUAAAACUAGGAAGCCGUGAGUGUCCUCGUGCAGAAAGGGACCCUGAGAGGGGCUAGGACUGUUCUAAGUCUCAGUUCCUCCAGCCUUACUUUGAGAAAGCGCUUUCACUGUGAGGCUCCUUAACCAGUGUCUCCCAGCGCGGCGCUCAUGUGUGAGAUUGUUUUAGGUUGGGGGGAAAAAAAAACCCAAAUGAGAUAUGUAGUUUUCAAUAUCAGUGUCAUCAAUACUGUUGUCAAUGGUGAGGCAAAAAAUGGUUAAAAUGAGCCACUCACAGCCCAGGUAGUCAGGCUCCACUAGGAUGAGUGGUGUUCUGAUAUGGUCAAAAUGGGGACAGUGGCAUGCAAAUCAGUAAGUUAGAAAAACACCCCUUCCAACCCCGCAUCUUUACUGAGACACUGCCUUAGGGCAGUGGCUUUCGAACUUGCAGUCAUGCCCCAAGGUAGGAAAUAUCCACAUCUACAUAUGUAUAUAAAAUGUCUCAUGAAACAAUUCACAUGUGUGCAAAACAAUUUUAUGUUGUCCUAUUCUGUCCCCUAAAAAAAGAUGCUGCUCUCCAGCGGUUACAAUUGAUUUCAUCAUCCACUCAUGGUUCUCUCCUACAACUUGGAAAAUACCACCAGGGCGCCUGGCUGGCUCAGUCAGUGGAGCAUGCCACUCUUGGUCUCAGGAUUGUAGGUUCGGGGCACAUGUUGGGUGUAGACAUUACUUAAAAAUAAAAAUCUUAUUUAGGGGCCCAUGGGUGCCUCAGCUGGUUAA